GCACCUCUAGUCCAGUUGGUUAUCCUGUUAACACACAGCCACCCGAUCUUUAAAAAUCGGAUGGUGUCGAGGGUUCGAUUCCCUCUGGGAGCA